rnacentral:rRNA from 1 species
UAAGAGCCUACCAAGGCGACGAUCGGUAGCUGGUCUGAGAGGACGAUCAGCCACACUGGGAUUGAGAACGGCCCAGACUCCUACGGGGGGCAGCAGUGAGGAAUUUUCCGCAAUGGGCGAAAGCCUGACGGAGCAACGCCGCGUGCAGGAGGACGCUUUUCGGAGUGUAAACUGCUUUUCUGUGGGAAGAGAGAGGACGGUACCACAGGAAGAAGCCCCGGCUAACUACGUGCCAGCAGCCGCGGUAAUAAGUAGGGGGCGAGCGUUGUCCGGAGUUACUGGGCGUAAAGCGCACGCAGGCGGUUCUUUCAGUUCAAAGUGACAGUAGUCGGCUUCACUGACGAAGGACUAGGAAGACGGGAGAACUUGAGGGCUUCAGAGGGACACGGAAUUCCGGGUGGAGUGGUGAAAUG